AGGGAUCCUGGCAGGGGCCAGCCAGCCCUCCCAGGACAGAGGUCGGUGCCUCCAGGGCCAGCGUCACAAAGGGCCCUGGACUUUGGCCGACACGUCCCAGGACGGGGCAAGGGCCCCCUGGACCACAGAUAAACAGCCACCUGUGCGGCUGGAGGAAGCCGACUCCAGGCACCCCUGACCUGCAGGAGCCAGACCCCGGCGACACGUCCAGGAAGCAGGAAGCCCCGUGGAUGCACCACGCUCCACGCUUCGGACAGUCCCCGUCCCGCCCCGGCCCGUGUUGUCCUAACCAACCCAGACAAGGCUCCGGAAUCAUGGGGAACGUGACCAUCGGCCAGAAAGCUAAACAGCCGUCGCUGUCAGCGCCCGCGGCUCCGCGUCCACGGCCACGGCUCCCACGAGCCGGGGCGCCUCGCCGGGGCCGCCACCUGGGGACCCUCCACCCAAGACGCACAUGUCCACGCUGCACCGCACUCUGCAGACCUGGGCGCCUGGGGUCCCUGGCCUGGCCUGCAGGACCCGGCCCGGAGCACCGCCCGCGUCUCCCCAAGGACAAGAGCGUGAGGGUGGGCCCCUCACUCCACACCCGGGAGGUCUGGGGGGCCCGCCCCCGGGACAGGUCACAGGGAUCCCAUGGGGAGCCUGGGUUUAGGAGGGCAGAGGGAAGGAGCCACAGGCUCCUCUUUAGGAGCAGCCACAGGCUGCUCUUAACUGUGUCUUGAUCACGACCCUCACUGGGCCCGCGCCCCCAGAUGGCCGGCACCCUG